AGAGUUUGAUCCUGGCUCAGGAUGAACGCUGGCGGCGUGCUUAACACAUGCAAGUCGAACGAAGCACUUUAACCUGAUUCUUCGGAUGAAGGUUUUUGUGACUGAGUGGCGGACGGGUGAGUAACGCGUGGGUAACCUGCCUCAUACAGGGGGAUAACAGUUAGAAAUGACUGCUAAUACCGCAUAAGACCACGGAGCUGUAUGGCUCAGUGGGAAAAACUCCGGUGGUAUGAGAUGGACCCGCGUCUGAUUAGGUAGUUGGUGGGGUAACGGCCUACCAAGCCAACGAUCAGUAGCCGACCUGAGAGGGUGACCGGCCACAUUGGGACUGAGACACGGCCCAAACUCCUACGGGAGGCAGCAGUGGGGAAUAUUGCACAAUGGGGGAAACCCUGAUGCAGCGACGCCGCGUGAGCGAAGAAGUAUUUCGGUAUGUAAAGCUCUAUCAGCGGGGAAGAAAAUGACGGUACCUGACUAAGAAGCACCGGCUAAAUACGUGCCAGCAGCCGCGGUAAUACGUAUGGUGCAAGCGUUAUCCGGAUUUACUGGGUGUAAAGGGAGCGUAGACGGCUGUGUAAGUCUGAAGUGAAAGCCCGGGGCUCAACCCCGGGACUGCUUUGGAAACUAUGCAGCUAGAGUGUCGGAGAGGUAAGUGGAAUUCCCAGUGUAGCGGUGAAAUGCGUAGAUAUUGGGAGGAACACCAGUGGCGAAGGGCGGCUUACUGGACGAUGACUGACGUUGAGGCUCGAAAGCGUGGGGAGCAAACAGGAUAAGAUCCCUGGGUAGUCCACGCCGUAAACGAUGACUACUAGGUGUCGGGGAGCAAAGCUCUUCGGUGCCGCAGCAAACGCAAUAAGUAGUCCACCUGGGGAGUACGUUCGCAAGAAUGAAACUCAAAGGAAUUGACGGGGACCCGCACAAGCGGUGGAGCAUGUGGUUUAAUUCGAAGCAACGCGAAGAACCUUACCUGCUCUUGACAUCCCGGUGACCGGCAUGUAAUGAUGCCUUUUCUUCGGAACACCGGUGACAGGUGGUGCAUGGUUGUCGUCAGCUCGUGUCGUGAGAUGUUGGGUUAAGUCCCGCAACGAGCGCAACCCUUAUCUUCAGUAGCCAGCAAUUCGGAUGGGCACUCUGGAGAGACUGCCAGGGAUAACCUGGAGGAAGGUGGGGGAUGACGUCAAAUCAUCAUGCCCCUUAUGAGCAGGGCUACACACGUGCUACAAUGGCGUAAACAAAGGGAAGCGAGCCUGCGAGGGUAAGCAAAUCUCAAAAAUAACGUCUCAGUUCGGAUUGUAGUCUGCAACUCGACUACAUGAAGCUGGAAUCGCUAGUAAUCGCGAAUCAGCAUGUCGCGGUGAAUACGUUCCCGGGUCUUGUACUCACCGCCCGUCA
rnacentral:rRNA from 1 species